UUGACUUUAGAUUCAAGAAAACCUAUUUCACUGUUUGCGUUGAUUCCCUUAACUCCAUUUUCUUUUCCUUCUUCAAUGUUCGGAAUUCCGAUGUUGGGAAUCGAGAUUCAACUCUGGAAUACAAAAAUGUCGAGUUUUGUAUGUGUCGCCGGUGUCGGUGACACAUUUUAACAAAAUCAUCAUCUUCUAUUUUUCAAUCUUUUUUAUAGACUAUAAUAAAAACAAUUUACUCAGUCUAUAGGGAAAUUGAGUAAAUUGCCCACUUCCUUAACUGUUAGUCAAUCAUCA
rnacentral:lncRNA from 1 species